AUUGAACGCUGGCGGCAUGCCUUACACAUGCAAGUCGAACGGUAACAGGUCUUCGGAUGCUGACGAGUGGCGAACGGGUGAGUAAUACAUCGGAACGUGCCUAGUAGUGGGGGAUAACUACUCGAAAGAGUGGCUAAUACCGCAUGAGAUCUACGGAUGAAAGCAGGGGAUCGCAAGACCUUGUGCUACUAGAGCGGCCGAUGGCAGAUUAGGUAGUUGGUGGGAUAAAAGCUUACCAAGCCGACGAUCUGUAGCUGGUCUGAGAGGACGAUCAGCCACACUGGGACUGAGACACGGCCCUGACGCCUACGGGAGGCAGCAGUGGGGAAUUUUGGACAAUGGGCGAAAGCCUGAUCCAGCAAUGCCGCGUGCAGGAUGAAGGCCUUCGGGUUGUAAACUGCUUUUGUACGGAACGAAAAGCCCCGGGUUAAUACCCUGGGUCAUGACGGUACCGUAAGAAUAAGCACCGGCUAACUACGUGCCAGCCGCCGCAGUAA
rnacentral:rRNA from 1 species